rnacentral:rRNA from 1 species
UAGGGAAUCUUCCGCAAUGGGCGAAAGCCUGACGGAGCAACGCCGCGUGAGUGAUGAAGGUCUUCGGAUCGUAAAACUCUGUUAUUAGGGAAGAACAAAUGUGUAAGUAACUAUGCACGUCUUGACGGUACCUAAUCAGAAAGCCACGGCUAACUACGUGCCAGCAGCCGCGGUAAUACGUAGGUGGCAAGCGUUAUCCGGAAUUAUUGGGCGUAAAGCGCGCGUAGGCGGUUUUUUAAGUCUGAUGUGAAAGCCCACGGCUAAACCGUGGAGGGUCAUUGGAAACUGGAAAACUUGAGUGCAGAAGAGGAAAGUUGAAUUCCAUGUGUAGCGGGGAAAUGCGGAAAGAUAUGGAAGAACACCAGUGGCGAAGGCGACUUUCUGGUCUGUAACUGACGCUGAUGUGCGAAAGCGUGGGGAUCAAACAGG